CCUACGGGUGGCAGCAGUCGAGAAUCAUUCACAAUGGGGGAAACCCUGAUGGUGCGACGCCGCGUGGGGGAAUGAAGGUCUUCGGAUUGUAAACCCCUGUCAUGUGGGAGCAAAUUAAAAAGAUAGUACCACAAGAGGAAGAGACGGCUAACUCUGUGCCAACAGCCGCGGGAAUACAGAGGUCUCAAGCGGUGUUCGGGAUCACUGGGCGUAAAGCGUGCGGAGGCUGUUUCGUAAGGCGUGUGGGAAAAGGGCGGGCUGAACCCGCGGACGGCACAUGAUACUGCGGGACGAGAGUGAUGGAGGGGGAACCGGAAUUCUCGGUGUAGCAGUGAAAUGCGUAGAUAUCGAGAGGAACACUCGUGGCGAAGGCGGGUUACUGGCCAUUAACUGACGCUGAGGCACGAAGGCCAGGGGAGCGAAAGGGAUUAGAUACCCUAGUAGUC
rnacentral:rRNA from 1 species